rnacentral:misc_RNA from 1 species
ACGAGUUUGAAGCGUCCCUCCGGCUGAGCUGGUCGCAAAGGCAAAGUGGCUCGCCGGACGAGAUGUGCUCUUUCUCUUGCUUUCCCCCCUCUUGUGCACCUCCGCGUGGGGUCCUCGAAGGCGUGUGUUCUUCCUUCGCCGAAAGGCAAGGGAAGGGGACCGUCGAAGAGGGUUCGCGAAGCUUUUUGAUGUACCCCAUCGUAAGGACUUUAGAAUGUCGAUCGUCGUUUUUGAUGCAACCGAAACA